rnacentral:rRNA from 1 species
UACGGAGGGUGCAAACGUUGUUCGGAUUCACUGGGCUUAAAGGGCACGUAGGCGGCCGACUAAGUCGGAUGUGAAAGCCCUCGGCUCAACCGAGGAACUGCAUCCGAAACUGGUCGGCUUGAGUGGAGGAGGGGAGAGCGGAACUUCCGGUGUAGCGGUGAAAUGCGUAGAUAUCGGAAGGAACGCCGGUGGCGAAAGCGGCUCUCUGGCCUCCCACUGACGCUGAGGUGCGAAAGCCAGGGGAGCGAAC